AGCGUUUUUCGCAGCGGAACUCGACCGCCCCACGACGAAAUGAUCGCGUUCGUCGACAUGCAUCGCGAGAAGUUCGGGGUCGAGGCCAUCUGCCGCAUCCUCAGUGCGACAGAAUGUGGGUUCAUCACCUCCCG
rfam:Gordonia sihwensis NBRC 108236 DNA, contig: GSI01S60.